rnacentral:rRNA from 1 species
UACGUAGGGAGCAAGCGUUGUUCGGAUUUACUGGGCGUAAAGGGCGCGUAGGCGGCGCAACAAGUCACUUGUGAAAUCUCCGGGCUUAACCCGGAGCGGUCAAGUGAUACUGUCGUGCUAGAGUGCGGAAGGGGCUACUGGAAUUCUCGGUGUAGCGGUGAAAUGCGUAGAUAGUCGGGAGGAACACCAGUGGCGAAGGCGGUUACCUGGAGCUUUGCUGACGCUGAUGCGCGAAAGCGUGGGGAGCGAGUCCGG